rnacentral:rRNA from 1 species
UGAGAUUAGUGGAACGCUCUGGAAAGUGCGGCCAUAGUGGGUGAUAGCCCCGUACACGAAAAUCUCUUAUCAAUGAAAUCGAGUAGGACGGAGCACGAGAAACUUUGUCUGAAUAUGGGGGGACCAUCCUCCAAGGCUAAAUACUACUGACUGACCGAUAGUGAACCAGUACCGUGAGGGAAAGGCGAAAAGAACCCCGGAGAGGGGAGUGAAAUAGAACCUGAAACCGUAUGCGUACAAGCAGUGGGAGCCUACUUUGUUAGGUGACUGCGUACCUUUUGUAUAAUGGGUCAGCGACUUAUAUUCAGUGGCGAGCUUAACCGAAUAGGGGAGGCGUAGCGAAAGCGAGUCUUAAUAGGGCGUUUAGUCGCUGGGUAUAGACCCGAAACCGGGCGAUCUAUCCAUGGGCAGGUUGAAGGUUAGGUAACACUGACUGGAGGACCGAACCGACUACCGUUGAAAAGUUAGCGGAUGACCUGUGGAUCGGAGUGAAAGGCUAAUCAAGCUCGGAGAUAGCUGGUUCUCCUCGAAAGCUAUUUAGGUAGCGCCUCAUGUAUCACUGUAGGGGGUAGAGCAAUGUUUCGGCUAGGGGGUCAUCCCGUCUUACCAAACCGAUGCAAACUCCGAAUACCUACACGUGCCGAGCAUGGGAGACACACGGCGGGUGGUAACGUCCGUCGUGAAAAGGGAAACAACCCAGACCGUCAGCUAAGGUCCCAAAGUCAUGGUUAAGUGGGAAACGAUGUGGGAAGGCUUAGACAGCUAGGAGGUUGGCUUAGAAGCAGCCACCCUUUAAAGAAAGCGUAAUAGCUCACUAGUCGAGUCGGCCUGCGCGGAAGAUGUAACGGGGCUCAAACCAUGCACCGAAGCUACGGGCAUCCUCUUAUGAUGAUGCGGUAGAGGAGCGUUCUGUAAGCCUGUGAAGGUGAGUUGAGAAGCUUGCUGGAGGUAUCAGAAGUGCGAAUGCUGACAUGAGUAACGACAAUGCGAGUGAAAAACUCGCACGCCGAAAGACCAAGGUUUCCUGCGCAACGUUAAUCGACGCAGGGUUAGUCGGUCCCUAAGGCGAGGCUGAAAAGCGUAGUCGAUGGAAAACAGGUUAAUAUUCCUGUACUUCCAGUUAUUGCGAUGGAGGGACGGAGAAGGUUAGGCCAGCCUGGCGUUGGUUGUCCAGGUUUAAGGUGGUAGGCUGAAAUCUUAGGCAAAUCCGGGAUUUCAAGGCCGAGAGCUGAUGACGAGUUGCCUUUAGGCGACGAAGUGGUUGAUACCAUGCUUCCAAGAAAAGCUCCUAAGCUUCAGAUAACUGGGAACCGUACCCCAAACCGACACAGGUGGUUAGGUAGAGAAUACCAAGGCGCUUGAGAGAACUCGGGGGAAGGAACUAGGCAAAAUGGCACCGUAACUUCGGGAGAAGGUGCGCCGGCGAGGGUGAAGGCCUUGCUCCGUAAGCCCAUGCCGGUCGAAGAUACCAGGCCGCUGCGACUGUUUAUUAAAAACACAGCACUCUGCAAACACGAAAGUGGACGUAUAGGGUGUGACGCCUGCCCGGUGCCGGAAGGUUAAUUGAUGGGGUUAGCGCAAGCGAAGCUCUUGAUCGAAGCCCCGGUAAACGGCGGCCGUAACUAUAACGGUCCUAAGGUAGCGAAAUUCCUUGUCGGGUAAGUUCCGACCUGAACGAAUGGCGUAACGAUGGCGGCGCUGUCUCCACCCGAGACUCAGGGAAAUUGAAAUCGCUGUGAAGAUGCAGUGUAUCCGCGGCUAGACGGGAAGACCCCGUGAACCUUUACUAUAGCUUUGCACUGGACUUUGAAUUUGCUUGUGUAGGAUAGGUGGGAGGCUUUGAAGUGGGGACGCCAGUUCUCAUGGAGCCAUCCUUGAAAUACCACCCUGGCAACUUUGAGGUUCUAACUCAGGUCCGUUAUCCGGAUCGAGGACAGUGUAUGGUGGGUAGUUUGACUGGGGCGGUCUCCUCCCAAAGAGUAACGGAGGAGUACGAAGGUGCGCUCAGACCGGUCGGAAAUCGGUCGUAGAGUAUAAAGGCAAAAGCGCGCUUGACUGCGAGACAAACACGUCGAGCAGGUACGAAAGUAGGUCUUAGUGAUCCGGUGGUUCUGUAUGGAAGGGCCAUCGCUCAACGGAUAAAAGGUACUCCGGGGAUAACAGGCUGAUACCGCCCAAGAGUUCAUAUCGACGGCGGUGUUUGGCACCUCGAUGUCGGCUCAUCACACCCUGGGGCUGAAGCCGGUCCCAAGGGUAUGGCUGUUCGCCAUUUAAAGUGGUACGCGAGCUGGGUUUAGAGCGUCGUGAGACAGUUCGGUCCCUAUCUGCUGUGGACGUUUGAGAUUUGAGAGGGGCUGCUCCUAGUCCGAGAGGUCCGGAGUGGACGAACCUCUGGUGUUCCGGUUGGCCCGCCAGUGGCAUUUCCGGGGAGCUAUGUUCGGAAGAGAUAACCGCUGAAAGCAUCUAAGCGGGAAACUUGCCUCAAGAUGAGAUCUCACUGGGAUCUUGA